rnacentral:sRNA from 1 species
AUUAUCCAAAAGGUAUAAAAUUUUUCCUACAAGUUGAGAUAAGGGAAUCCGGACGUUGUAUUUUGGUGUGAAUGCCUGCACGAGUGCAGGAAUCCUAAAAACUUACACAGGAUGCCCACCUGUAUAUACAGGGAAAAGGUCUCACCUUUUGGUGGCA